CGCCUUGGCCCCCAGAUUCCUUAGCGUCGCUCUCUGGGUUAGCGGAACUCUUUUGUUUCCCUCCCGUUGUGCCAGUGAAGAACUGAGAAGGGGAGAGAUCGAAGGCUCUUAUUGAAAACUUAGAGCAGAAACUUCAUUUUGAUUCAACAGUGACUYCAACAUGCAGAACAUCUGCCCUGAAUGGAAGAGAUGCUCCACUUUCAUUCAAUUAGUACACAGUUAUGGCGGACACAACAUCUUUGCUUGUAUGUG